GCCAAGUGAACCUGAUAAAGCUGGAUCUCAUCAGAUUCUAGAGGGCUUGCCAUGUUCCUUUACUGCCUCUCAGUGAACUGAAAAGGGAGAGGGACAGUGCUUAUUCAAGCCACACAAUUAAGGAAAGAGCCUCAAAGUUUGGAGAAGCUUGCUGGUCAUUGGGCCAAGGUUUUCCCUGGAGUGGACAUGUCCACCACAGCCCCAUUGCCUAGUGGCCACCCAGGGUCUCGAUAAAUGUCCCCAGUGACUCCACACCACUGAGACAAGAGCCUGGCUCGUUUUGAGUUGGAUUCUGUAUUGCAUCAUGUGAUGGGCCCUGAUUGAUUGAAUCAGACCUCAACUGAAGACUUAGCUUCUAAUCUUUUGCUAAGUGUUAUUCAGGUGGCCAAGACAUGGAAACAACCAAAGUGCCCUUCAAUAAAUGAUUUGAUAAAGAAGAUGUGGUACUUGUACACAAUGGAAUACUAUUCAGCCACAAGAAAAGGUGAAAUUCUGCUAUUUGCAACCACAUGAAUGGACCUUGAGAAUAUCAUGCUAAGUGAAAAAAAGUCAGACAGAAAAAUGUAAGAACCACAUGAUUUCACUCAUAUAUGGGAUAUAAAACAAAAACUCA